rnacentral:rRNA from 1 species
CUGCGAACGGCUCCGUACAACUGUUAUAAGCCUAACGUGGGGUGAAGAACGGAUAAGCGGCGGUAAACCUGCACCUAAAACGUAAAUUCCCCACGGGAGAGCUUUCUCUCCCGGGGGGACCUGCUCCACAGUAAGCUACAGCUUGGCGGCGUAGCGAACACGAGGGACUCCAGCCAUCCAGCACCGCAGCCCGGGUCGACCCCCUCGCGGGUCUUCCCUCCGUCCGCCCGGGGCAUCAGCCCUGGGCGGGCAGCUGCCCAGCGGGGAAACGGCUGGAGCAUCACCAAAGGUAAUGUAAGGCGCCUAGGCGCAGACCGCAGGGCACGAUGGGUUUCAGGCCUAUCAGCUUGCUGGUAGGGUAUUGGCCUACCAGGGCUGCAACGGGUACAGAGGAUUAGGGUUUGAUCCUGGAGAGGUGGCCCGAGAAAUUGCCACCACUGCUACGGCAGGCAGCAGGCGCGCAACGUUCCCAAUGUUUUUACAUGAGGACGUGAAGGGGCGUAACAACGCCUCGCCUACGGCGAGGCGAUUGAAAUGGGGCGGGCUUAAACAACCCGCCGAGUAGCAAUUGGAGGACA